rnacentral:rRNA from 1 species
UACGUAGGGGGCUAGCGUUGUCCGGAAUCAUUGGGCGUAAAGAGCGUGUAGGCGGUCCGGUAAGUCCGUUGUGAAAGUCAAGGGCUCAACCCUUGAAUGCCGGCGGAUACUGUCGGGCUAGAGUCCGGAAGAGGCGAGUGGAAUUCCCGGUGUAGCGGUGAAAUGCGCAGAUAUCGUUUGGAACGCCAAAGGUGAAAACAGACAGCUGGGAGUGUGCUGACGCUGAGACACGAAAGCCAGGGGAGCGAACGGG